AGAGUUUGAUCCUGGCUCAGAUUGAACGCUGGCGGCAUGCUUUACACAUGCAAGUCGAACGGUAACAGGGAGCUUGCUCCGCUGACGAGUGGCGAACGGGUGAGUAAUGCAUCGGAACGUACCCAGUCGUGGGGGAUAACGUAGCGAAAGUUACGCUAAUACCGCAUACGACCUACGGGUGAAAGUGGGGGACCGCAAGGCCUCACGCGAUUGAAUGAGCCGAUGUCGGAUUAGCUAGUUGGCGGGGUAAAGGCCCACCAAGGCGACGAUCCGUAGCUGGUCUGAGAGGAUGAUCAGCCACACUGGAACUGAGACACGGUCCAGACUCCUACGGGAGGCAGCAGUGGGGAAUAUUGGACAAUGGGCGCAAGCCUGAUCCAGCCAUACCGCGUGAGUGAAGAAGGCCCUCGGGUUGUAAAGCUCUUUUGUUGGGAAAGAAAUCCUGUUGGCUAAUACCCGGCGGGGAUGACGGUACCCAAAGAAUAAGCACC
rnacentral:rRNA from 1 species